AAACCAACAGGGAUUGCCUCAGUAACGGCGAGUGAAGCGGCAACAGCUCAAAUUUGAAACCUGCCAACCGGCCGGAUUGUAAUUUGCAGAGGAUGCUUUGGGAAAGGUACUGAUCUAAGUUUCUUGGAACAGAACGUCACAGAGGGUGAGAAUCCCGUCCGUGGUCGGCCGCCUGCCCCGUGUAAAGCUCCUUCGACGAGUCGAGUUGUUUGGGAAUGCAGCUCUAAAUGGGUGGUAAAUUUCAUCUAAAGCUAAAUAUUGGCCAGAGACCGAUAGCGCACAAGUAGAGUGAUCGAAAGAUGAAAAGCACUUUGGAAAGAGAGUUAAACAGCACGUGAAAUUGUUGAAAGGGAAGCGCUUGCAAUCAGACUUGGGCGCGGGUACUCAGGGACGGUUCGCCGUUCUGUAUUUGCCCGCGCACAGGCCAGCAUCAGUUUUGGGGGUGGGAUAAAGGCCGUAGGAAUGUGGCUCUUCGGAGUGUUAUAGCCUACGGUGCCAUGCCACCUCCCGGGACUGAGGACCGCGCUUCGGCUAGGAUGCUGGCGUAAUGAUUGUAAGCGAC
rnacentral:rRNA from 1 species